rnacentral:rRNA from 1 species
GACGAACGCUGGCGGCGUGCUUAACACAUGCAAGUCGAACGGUAAGGCCCUUCGGGGUACACGAGUGGCGAACGGGUGAGUAACACGUGGGUGAUCUGCCCUGCACUUCGGGAUAAGCCUGGGAAACUGGGUCUAAUACCGGAUAGGACCCUGGGAUGCAUGUCCUGGGGUGGAAAGCUUUUGCGGUGUGGGAUGGGCCCGCGGCCUAUCAGCUUGUUGGUGGGGUGAUGGCCUACCAAGGCGACGACGGGUAGCCGGCCUGAGAGGGUGACCGGCCACACUGGGGCUGAGAUACGGCCCAGACUCCUACGGGAGGCAGCAGUGGGGAAUAUUGCACAAUGGGCGCAAGCCUGAUGCAGCGACGCCGCGUGAGGGAUGACGGCCUUCGGGUUGUAAACCUCUUUCAGCACCGACGAAGCGCAAGUGACAGUAGGUGCAGAAGAAGGACCGGCCAACUACGUGCCAGCAGCCGCAGUAA